GGGAGGGAUCCUUGAGUGCUGCUGUCGCACAACUACGCUAGACUAGAAGCUUUACUUUUCGACUGUUUGAAUCAGGCAGGCAGGCGGUGGUGGGUCUACGCGAGGCGGAUACUCAAAAAAUAGCUCUGAAAGGCGAUCAGGUAUGGCGGAUGCUAACGGAGGGGCUCCGCGGGACUUUACGUAAAGAUGAGGAUUCCUCCGGUGUGGGCGCUGGGCGCUUGCCAGACUGGGUGAGCUGAGAACUAAGACUGAAACCUGCUGAGAGAGCGAGAGAGAGAGGGGGAAAAAAACAUCACCUGGGACUGCUGAGGAGGACCUCUGUGCAGGUUCACACGGCCGUCAGCAGGGUGGAGCUUCCUGACCCAUGGAGAAUUACUUCCAGGCCGAGGCCUUCAACCUGGACAAGGUGCUGGACGAGUUCGAGCAGAACGAAGGCUUUGAGACAUCGUGUAACUGGUGCAAGACGGGAGGGUUGGCUGUUUUCAUCACACUUAAUGAUCCCAAAAGUGUGUCGGAGCCUUUUUGGAGACUCUGUGAUUUCACAGUUUAUUUAU
ensembl:lncRNA